CCUCGCGUUAUUCCAUCAUCCAUAUUUCUGCUCUUAGUUCUUUAGUUGCUUUAUAAUGUGUCAGCAGUAAUCAGCCCUGCUGUAUUAUAUAUUGUACUUGAUUGUUGAUACCUAAUUAAUUAACUGUUUACGAUGGCAGUUAUGGCGGAUGAUGAUUAAUCACUCUACAAUCGCCUGUCACGUGACUUCUUCAACCCGUUCUGUAGAUGGCCCUAAACAACUAUAUUCGAACCCCGGAAACCAUAACCCUCUAAUCAGAUCCCAACCCUAACGGCCUAACCCUAACCAAAUCCUUUACAAAAGCAUAUACUGAAACACUAUAGAGAAAUUAUACGGUCAUAUCACGUGAUCGAGACAGUUUUUCGCCAAUAUCUCGUUAGGGGAGAAUUUUAACCUUAUGUCAUGGGGGUAAUAGCAAAUUUUAGUUAAAGAGUAAAUCAAAGUUAGCAAUCAUUGAACUCAAUAGUUAAAAAGGAGAAGCUAAAAGCGCUGAAAGACCAAAAAGCAUCUCCCGCAGGAGCUGUUGAAUCAGCACGCUGAAGAAGUACAGAGACUGGCGAACAAGCUGAUAAACUCAGACAGCAGCAAAAACUUCAAGCUGAACAGGAAGCUGUACAACAACCGGUCUGACAAGUUACAAGUGGUGGACCUACAUCAUCUAGAUGUACAGGUAUAAAUUCUACUAGUACGAUUCGAUGCAGUGGAAGAGGUUGAAGUUGACGUUUAAGCAGUCACCCUGCCGAACAAGAAAUCAGUCAG